rnacentral:rRNA from 1 species
UGGGGAAUCUUGGACAAUGGGGGAAACCCUGAUCCAGCGACGCCGCGUGAGGGACGAAGCCCUUCGGGGUGUAAACCUCUUUCAGCGGGGAAGACGCCCGACGGUACCCGCAGAAGAAGCCACGGCCAACUACGUGCCAGCAGCCGCGGUAAUACGUAGGUGGCGAGCGUUGCUCGGAGGUACUGGGCGUAAAGCGUGUGUAGGCGGCCGGGCAAGUCCGGUGUGAAAUCUCCCGGCUCAACCGGGAGG